GUAUGACAGUUUGGCUCCAGGGUUUUACAGAAACUGGUUUUUCAACUGUUGUCACUAGCAGAUAUCAAAAUACCAACUCUAUGCAGUUGAGAGUUUUCAAUUGCACACAGUUGGUAUUUUUUGAUAUCCGCCAGGGACAACAUUGAAAAACUGGUUUUUAUGAAAUUCUGGAGCUAAAUUUUAUAU
rnacentral:pre_miRNA from 1 species